rnacentral:lncRNA from 1 species
AACCAAGAGCCAACAACUACCAUCAUUUCUCCCAUUUAAUAACUUUGUAUUCAACACACAAAUAUAUUAGACACAAACCAACACACAUGCAUCCACUAAAAAUUGCAAUUAUCUUAUUGAGUAUUGACCAACAGCACAUCAUAUAAUUAUUUCAUUCCAAAAAAAGAAAAAGGGAAAAAAGCCUCAGACUUUUGCCUGUCUUUCCCUCAACCAAAACCAACACUCAUGUGGGAACCAGGCAUGGUAGCAAGAUGACCAAAAUUGGCUCCACAUUUCCUUAGCC